UACGUAGGGGGGCAAGCGUUGUCCGGAAUCAUUGGGCGUAAAGAGCGUGUAGGCGGUUCGGUAAGUCUGCUGUGAAAGUCCAGGGCUCAACCCUGGAAAGCCGGUGGAUACUGUCGGACUAGAGUGCGGAAGAGGCGAGUGGAAUUCCCGGUGUAGCGGUGAAAUGCGCAGAUAUCGGGAGGAACACCGGUGGCGAAGGCGGGUCUCUGGGCCGGUACUGACGCUGAGGAGCGAAAGCGUGGGGAGCGAACAGG
rnacentral:rRNA from 1 species